GUGGUCAUCGUCCAGUGGCAGGACGCCUGAGUGUGGAUCAGGAAACACCAGUUCGACCCUGGUUGAUCACCCCA
rnacentral:tRNA from 1 species